UACGGAGGGUGCAAGCGUUAUCCGGAUUCACUGGGUUUAAAGGGUGCGUAGGCGGGUAAGUAAGUCAGUGGUGAAAUCUUCAAGCUUAACUUGGAAACUGCCAUUGAUACUAUUUAUCUUGAAUACUCUGGAGGUAAGCGGAAUAUGUCAUGUAGCGGUGAAAUGCUUAGAUAUGACAUAGAACACCAAUUGCGAAGGCAGCUUACUACAUAGUUAUUGACACUGAGGCACGAAAGCGUGGGGAUCAAACAGG
rnacentral:rRNA from 1 species